GGGAGAGUGCUUCAGUCGCGAUCCUGCAGGAGGGAGAAAAGUUGGCGGUGCCAGAGAUCGAGAGUGGUGCACUGGAUUCCAUGCAUGCGACAGAUGCCACAGUGGACGACACACAGCGAGCACCUCCUGCCAGUGAGGACAUUCACGACAACGUGGAAGAGGAGCAAAGCAAAGUCGAGGUGCAGCAUGAAGUUUCCGAACGCGAGGUCGAGCUUGCUGUCCCAGUAGAAGAACUCCCACAGUCGGGGAACGAAGAAGUCCAGGAGCCACAGCCUGUGCUUGAGGCCGUUCCCGAGACAGAGGCCGUGCCUGAGGCUUCUGAAGAGGAUGCCAAAGAGGUGCAACCAGCCGAGCCAGUUGUAGCUCAAGUACCAACCGCGAAAGUGGAUGACGUCUUACCCGCACACGAGGAAAUCAAGGAGGAAGAGAGCAUAGAGCAGGCCAAGGUGGCUGUGGAUGACCAGGUGGAGAAUUUCAAGCCCAGGGAGAGUGCUUCAGUCGCGAUCCUGCAGGAGGGAGAAAAGUUGGCGGUGCCAGAGAUCGAGAGUGCUGCUCCAGAUUCCAUCCAUGUGACAGAUGCCACAGUGGACGACACACAGCGAGCAUCUCCUGCCAGUGAGGACAUUCACGACAACGUGGAAGAGGAGCAAACCAAAGUCGAGGUGCAGCAUGAAGUUUCCGAACGCAAGGUCGAGCUUGCCGUCCCAGUAGAAGAACUCCCACAGUCAGGGAACGAAGAAGUCCAGCAGCCACAGCCUGUGCUUGAGGCCGUUCCCGAGACAGAGGCCGUGCCUGAGGCUUCUGAAGAGGCUGCCAAAGAGGUGCAACCAGCCGAGCCAGUUGUAGCUCAAGUACCAACUGCGAAAGUGGAUGACGUCUUACCCGCACACGAGGAAAUCAAGGAGGAAGAGAGCAUAGAGCCGGCCAAGGUGGCUGUGGAUGACCAGGUGGAGAAUGUCGAGCCCAGGGAGAGUGCUUCAGUCGCGAUCCUGCAGGAGGGAGAAAAGUUGGCAGUGCCAGAGAUCGAGAGUGGUGCACCGGAUUCCAUGCAUGCGACAGAUGCCACAGUGGACGACACACAGCGAGCACCUCCUGCCAGUGAGGACAUUCACGACAACGUGGAAGAGGAGCAAAGCAAAGUCGAGGUGCAGCAUGAAGUUUCCGAACGCGAGGUCGAGCUUGCUGUCCCAGUAGAAGAACUCCCACAGUCGGGGAACGAAGAAGUCCAGGAGCCACAGCCUGUGCUUGAGGCCGUUCCCGAGACAGAGGCCGUGCCUGAGGCUUCUGAAGAGGAUGCCAAAGAGGUGCAACCAGCCGAGCCAGUUGUAGCUCAAGUACCAACCGCGAAAGUGGAUGACGUCUUACCCGCACACGAGGAAAUCAAGGAGGAAGAGAGCAUAGAGCAGGCCAAGGUGGCUGUGGAUGACCAGGUGGAGAAUUUCAAGCCCAGGGAGAGUGCUUCAGUCGCGAUCCUGCAGGAGGGAGAAAAGUUGGCGGUGCCAGAGAUCGAGAGUGCUGCUCCAGAUUCCAUCCAUGUGACAGAUGCCACAGUGGACGACACACAGCGAGCAUCUCCUGCCAGUGAGGACAUUCACGACAACGUGGAAGAGGAGCAAACCAAAGUCGAGGUGCAGCAUGAAGUUUCCGAACGCAAGGUCGAGCUUGCCGUCCCAGUAGAAGAACUCCCACAGUCAGGGAACGAAGAAGUCCAGCAGCCACAGCCUGUGCUUGAGGCCGUUCCCGAGACAGAGGCCGUGCCUGAGGCUGCUGAAGAGGCUGUCAAGGAGGUGGAACCGGCCGAGCCAGUCGUAGCUCAAGUACCAACCGCGAAAGUGGAUGACGUUUUACCCACACACGAGGAAAUCAAGGAGGAAGAGAGCAUAGAGCCGGCCAAGGUGGCUGUGGAUGACCAGGUGGAGAAUGUCGAGCCCAGGGAGAGUGCUUCAGUCGCGAUCCUGCAGGAGGGAGAAAAGUUGGCAGUGCCAGAGAUCGAGAGUGGUGCACCGGAUUCCAUGCAUGCGACAGAUGCCACAGUGGACGACACACAGCGAGCACCUCCUGCCAGUGAGGACAUUCACGACAACGUGGAAGAGGAGCAAAGCAAAGUCGAGGUGCAGCAUGAAGUUUCCGAACGCGAGGUCGAGCUUGCUGUCCCAGUAGAAGAACUCCCACAGUCGGGGAACGAAGAAGUCCAGGACCCACAGCCUGUGCUUGAGGCCGUUCCCGAGCUUGAGGCCGUGCCUGAGGCUGCUGAAGAGGCUGCCAAAGAGGUGCAACCAGCCGAGCCAGUUGUAGCUCAAGUACCAACCGCGAAAGUGGAUGACGUCUUACCCGCACACGAGGAAAUCAAGGAGGAAGAGAGCAUAGAGCCGGCCAAGGUGGCUGUGGAUGACCAGGUGGAGAAUGUCGAGCCCAGGGAGAGUGCUUCAGUCGCGAUCCUGCAGGAGGGAGAAAAGUUGGCAGUGCCAGAGAUCGAGAGUGGUGCACCGGAUUCCAUGCAUGCGACAGAUGCCACAGUGGACGACACACAGCGAGCACCUCCUGCCAGUGAGGACAUUCACGAGAACGUGGAAGAGGAGCAAAGCAAAGUCGAGGUGCAGCAUGAAGUUUCCGAACGCGAGGUCGAGCUUGCUGUCCCAGUAGAAGAACUCCCACCGUCAGGGAACGAAGAAGUCCAGGAGCCACAGCCUGUGCUUGAGGCCGUUCCCGAGACAGAGGCCGUGCCUGAGGCUUCUGAAGAGGAUGCCAAAGAGGUGCAACCAGCCGAGCCAGUUGUAGCUCAAGUACCAACUGCGAAAGUGGAUGACGUCUUACCCGCACACGAGGAAAUCAAGGAGGAAGAGAGCAUAGAGCCGGCCAAGGUGGCUGUGGAUGACCAGGUGGAGAAUGUCGAGCCCAGGGAGAGUGCUUCAGUCGCGAUCCUGCAGGAGGGAGAAAAGUUGGCGGUGCCAGAGAUCGAGAGUGGUGCUCCAGAUUCCAUCCAUGUGACAGAUGCCACAGUGGACGACACACAGCGAGCACCUCCUGCCAGUGAGGACAUUCACGACAACGUGGAAGAGGAGCAAAGCAAAGUCGAGGUGCAGCAUGAAGUUUCCGAACGCGAGGUCGAGCUUGCUGUCCCAGUAGAAGAACUCCCACCGUCAG
rnacentral:lncRNA from 1 species